AAUGCGGAUUGCAGGUUGCGGGUACGUGUCGGGUACGGGUUCCAUAAAAUGGACCCGCGCAGGACUCUACCCUGUAUUUAUAGUCCUGCGUCAUCACGCUGGUCUAUAAUGAAGCAGGCGACUAUAAAACCAGCCUGGCGGGGCGGAAUUGCUCAUAGUUAGGUUGUAGGUGGGGUGGGCUGAAGGAAAAGUGCCGUCUGAGCUGUUGGAACGUUGGAUUUUAGACCGACCUGCACAUCAGUAAUGCUCAGCCAGAUAUAAACCAAAUGUUUGCAUAGAAAUGGGCACACAAUCCCCUCCACAAUUUUUUUUAAAAGAACUUUAUAGAGAUUCUGUUUUUAGGACAAACGUUGUAAAAAAAAAUAUUGUGCAAUUUUAGCGUAACAUGAAAAAAUAAAAUUACAUUACCUUGA